CCCCAAUCCUUCUACGUAGUCCCUCUGAGCAGCUCAGGGUAACGGGAAAUGGAUGCUGAAUGUCAGUCCAUGAUGCUUUGUCUCCAUUGCUCCUUCAUGUUAACCCUCUGCCCCAGCUCCAGAUGGUGUCCCUCCCACGGGAUGCCGUCCUUCCUGAACUGAACCUGAGGGGUCUGCCCACAGGCAGCAGCUCUUCAAGAACUGCUCCCACACGGCUCCGUACCACGGGGUCCAUCCCCCAGGAGCAAACUGCUCCAGCACGGGUCCCCCACGGGCGGCAGCUCCCCCCAGACCCCCUGCUCCUGCGGGGGCUCCUCUCCACGGGCUGCAGCUCCGGCCCGGGGCCUGCUCCUGCGGGGGCUCUCCAUGGGCCGCAGCCUCCUCCAGGCCACAUCCACCUGCUCCACCGGGGGCUCCUCCACGGGCUGCAGCGUGGAGAUCUGCUCCGUGUGGGACCCAUGGGCUGCAGGGGGACAGCCUGCUCCACCAGGGGCCUCUCUACAGGCCUCAGGGGAACUUCUGCGUGUGCCUGGAGCACCUCCUGCCCUCCUGCACUGACCUUGGGUGCUGCGGAGUUCUUGGAGGCAGAUGGAAGUGGGGCACUGCCAAAAUCUUGCCAUGCAUUCAUUUGUGCCCCCAUUGUCAGAGGAACACAGUGUUAGAAGGACACCCAGGAGAUGAAAUAAUUGUCUUUUAAGGUGAAAGUAUCCCUGGAUUUCCUCUUUCCUCUGGGAGAGGUGGAAGCUGCAUUUAUGAUCUGUGGUCACAGUUCCUGCUAUAAAGCUCCUUAUCCAAAACUAUCUAAGUUUACCUGCUGUGUCAGUGGAAAGAAUUUUAUUCAGUAUCUUCAUCUGAAAUCCUAAUAUCACCAGCAUCAAAAACUCACAUGUAUACAUGAACUUGGGUGGCAAUAUUUUAGUGCAAAUCAGGUAAACUCAUAGUUAAGAGGAAAAAAAAAGGGAAAAACAAACACAAACCUUUUGUUUCAUUUUAAUUGGCAAUAUAAAAUAUUUAAGAAUGCUAUUUUUCACAGUAUCAGCACUUGUAAUUCCUAAAUUAGCAUAAUCUUUGUAAAUAGAAUAAGCUUCUUAAAAGUACAAAAAAACGUAUCUUAUAUUUGGACAUGAUAUCACUAGGCAGAUCUAGUUUCCUUUUUCACUCUGCUUAAGAUGAUUUUCUGCAGAAGAAUUAUUUUUACAAGAUUUUAUACUAAAGUAGCGAGAACAUAGAAUACAUUUCUCUGCAUUUCCUGACCUUCAUGCCUCACAGAGACUGCAAAUUCUGCUUGAUAUUUAAAAUAUCCUGACAUCGACUACACCAUUACUUCCAACCAGCUAUGUCAGUAGCAUCAGCACUAAGUGUUUAUCUUAUUUCUGUCCUUUCAGCAGCAGAGUUCAGCUGGUUACCAGUGACCUCUGCUAUUCCGUAUUCCUGCCCGCUGAACAUCCACAACCUAAAUUCUUCUCAUUAGCUUGUCUGUACAUUUUAGUGUUCAAAAUUAGCACCUGAACACAGUUCUGUGGGGUCUAUGGGGAACAAACUUCAGGUAAAUAAACAUCUUGUGCUGAGCA
ensembl:lncRNA